UUUUACAAAGGACCCCUGGUGCAGGAGUGGUGACUGAUAUGCAGAGGACAAUGCAGAAGGAAGUCAAUGCUCCCAGCAAAAGUCAGGCUCAGGAACUGGAGGCUCUUUGCUCCUUAGAUAAGAGAGGCUCCAUUUGAAUCAGGAUUCCAAAGGAAAAGCAAGGAUGUACAAUGCCUUCUAGAAGGAGUAUAAGGAGUGGACAUAUCCUAAUGCAGCUUCUCAUGAGAUAGCAAGAGGAACACAUCUUUGCCCCUAACAUCAGCAAGCUUGAGUGCCAGUGCCUUCAAAUAUCAUUGUUAUCAUGUGGUGUCAUUCUUAAUAAUGGCUAAUUGUUUACCCUGUACCUGCUAGGUAACAUGUCCUAAUAAAGGUUACAGAAUCUCA